GCGCCGGUGGCGGGGAAAAGGCGGAGUAUGCGACUUGCCCUCCGAAGGCAGAGGUCACAGGUUCGAAUCCUGUCGGGUGCGCCA
rnacentral:tRNA from 1 species